rnacentral:rRNA from 1 species
UACGUAGGUGGCAAGCGUUGUCCGGAUUUAUUGGGCGUAAAGCGAGCGCAGGCGGUUUCUUAAGUCUGAUGUGAAAGCCCACGGCUCAACCGUGGAGGGUCAUUGGAAACUGGGAAACUUGAGUGCAGAAGAGGAAAGUGGAAUUCCAUGUGUAGCGGUGAAAUGCGCAGAGAUAUGGAGGAACACCAGUGGCGAAGGCGACUUUCUGGUCUGUAACUGACACUGAGAAGCGAAAGCAUGGGGAGCGAACAGG